UUCAAUUGGCUAGCAAGGUUGCCUCUUAAAGAAUCUAUGGGAACUUAGGUGACUAGCAUUUUCUGCCUUAAAUGCUUCAUUAUUAUGUCGAGCACUGGCCGAUUGAUUGCAUUUUUAUUGAGAAAUCGACGAAGUGAAUGCCUGAAGGUUGUGGACGAAGUACUUACAGCAAGUAUUUAAUGAUGUCUUGCAUUUAAUCAUGGAACAAUUAUAAAAGUAAGUCCUUUUUUCGAUUUGGGGUUGGAAAACCUUCAUCGGCACCUAUAGGAGGUCGCCAAUUUCAAUUCAUCCGUUUUUCUAGCGACAGAAAGGGGUUCAUAGGUAUGGGCCGACUGUUUGGAAGCUGGCAUUCAUCCGUCUUCAAGAGUAGAACAGUUUCCCAGAGUAGAAUCACAGGCAGUUAUUCUAUAUACACGCACCAACCGAGCUUGGAUUUAUCGGUUAUUGGUGCCUAAUUUCGAUCCAAACGUGUUCUCCAUCUAGCGAGCAGAUUGGCGUGCUCUAGUCCGAUGAGCAGUCCCGGUUUAACGUUUUUGUAAAAUUUAAUCAGAAGACCAGCAAGGUGUGGAAACUGUUCAGAUAGCUGUUCGUAGUCCAUCGAGUGAGCCGGUAUCUCCAGGUUACUCACAGUUCUCACAUUUCUAAAAUGGUAGCCUCGUUUAUCUUGUCCUUGAAUUUCCACGCUAACUCGCCGCGAGCCCUCUUCUUUUCUAAGGCCUGACUCAUUCGCUAUCUGGUCGUCCAAUAGCGUCACAGGCAACAUCUAAAGCCUUGAAACUGGUGAAAUUUGCAAUAUAAUGGUUUGAUACACUGCAAUGGAAGCAUCGUCUGUCAUCACUCGUUCGAUCUGUUUUUUUCCACGUAGGCGUGCAGUCUUUCAUUUUGAUUCGGCCUCUCUUGCCGCGACUGUCUCUCCACUCCAUAAAACUCCGAUGCCAACUCAACAUGUUUCGUCAGAAAUUGGUUGAGCGUGCCAUCUGUGACUUCCUUGUAAUCCUGUUUGUAUUUCAACCGUUGCAGCUUCAUGCUCGUGGGUAAUUUUGCUGUUAGUUCUUGUAUCAGCAUCGGGUUUUGUAGGUGCUGCUUUUGUUUGGCCGCUAUCAUGUGCUCCUUCAAGUUCUGCGCUGCCAGGCCGUAUGUGAUGAUGGAGGACUUUCUUUAUUUUAGUCAACAGCGCGUUCAGGAGAAUUUCAGGCCUUCCAAAUAGCUUUUCCAGCGUUGCCAUUACUGAUGGCACUGUUGUCGGCAAUCAUAAUCUACCGCUUAUAAGGCAUCGUUGUAAGCGAACCAAACUCUCUGCUCGUGUGUACCCACACUCUUUUGUACUGUUGGUAUAUGCACUGUGGAAUAUCAGCCAUUCCUCUUGCCGGCCGUUAAAUUUGGGCAAUUCUUUAUCCAUCAUUUUCCUCGCCGCUGCCUGUGCCUUUGUUGGUCCAAUCAACAGUUCGGCUUACGCUUCGCACCUACCGCUUCACCGGAUUUCUUCUUGAGGAACAUCGAGCUCGUGUUCUUCUUCCGCAAGUUUGAGCAUGAUCGCGGCUCUUUGGUUUCAGGAUGAAGCAAAAGAGGCGACAGAGUGACUCGUUUUUCUCACCCUUUGAAACACCAUCCUCUUGCGACCGUUUGCACAUGGCUUUCUGCACCUUCUGCGACACGUCUAUUCACAUCUAUAUUCUGCCUGUAUGCCUGCCUGACGUCGACCGCCGCGCUACUGCCUAUUAUUACCGAGGGCCGCACGUCCUAAUUAACUGUUGCGGAAUUGGAAUGGUUCUUUUAUUAAUUCUUGCAAUGGUUCGGGGAAUGGUAUACCAGGUCUACCAAUAUGAAAUGAGCCGUUUUGUGUGAACACAGAAACGCUUUUUUUAUUAUGGAUCGGCAAAUCGUAUUUUAUUCAAAGUACUGUCCAUUGUUGGUGACACAUUUCAUCCAUCUUUCAGAUAGUUUAUGUAUUCCUCGACAAAAAAAUUGUUGAUCUUUUGAUCCAAACCAGUCAGCGACCCAAAUUUUGUCCUCCUCAUAGCACUUGAAGUGCUGCUCACCCAACGCGUAUGCCAUAGAUAAAAAUAAAUGAUAAUCGGAAGAUGCCAAGUCUGGUGAAUACGGCGGGUGGGGUAGCAGCUGCCAACCAAGUUCCUUUACGAUAUCCUGAACAGCUGUUUGCUGUUUUUACUGCGGCUUUGCGUACCACACCGUCGCGAGAAGCUUUAGUCUUUGGACCACGAUUCCACACGGCCACCAGUUUCUGGGAUGAUUUUCAUCUACGAUAAGCACAGGAUCACCAACCUGUAUUGCGCGGACAUUAGUGAACCAUUUCGUUGGUUUACGGAUGGUCGGCAAGUAUUACCGAAUCCACCGUUCCCAGAGCAGAUUGUUGUGUCGCUGCGCUUUUUUUCAUGUGUUUUUUUUUAGGUUUGCGGUGUCUGCCUGGUAAUAUUAGUGGCUUCACUCCCGAAGAGGAGGAACCCAAGAGGAAGUGGUUAGGAGUGAGUGGGGCCUCGUCGUCCCUGUCUAAUGGUACGUGUGUUUCUAAUUGUUUGCCCUAGGCUAUACAAUUGUGCUACUUACAGGCUAUAGCUUAUAUACUAAGGGAGGGUAGAGCGUGUUAGACGGGAGUGGAAGGAGGAGAUUCGGAGGUGGAAAUCGAACAGAACACGAACGGCAUUGAACUCCUCUAGUGCUCGGAAAAGAGGAUUAUUAGACACGAAGCGGGUCCGGCGGGGAUGAGAAAUGGAGGUCUGUCACGGGAGCGUAGAAAGGGAGUGCGGAAAGAAGAGAGGGGGCGUCGGUGUUGUGGAGGAGGAGGUUGGCAAUGAAGAGGGACUGGGCAUGCGAAUGGCGGGAUGCGAUAGUGGGUAGGCCAAUCAUACGACAGCGCAUGUCGUAAGGUGGCAUUGUCAGGUAGGAGCCACCGAGAAGUCGGCGGGCUAUCAUCGCUGUAAAGGUCCGCUGGACCCCCUCCAACCUGCCCAUAGCGGACGCCGUGGAGGGUGACCAGACCACGCAGGCAUACUCGAGGAUCGACCGAACCCAGCAGCAGCAAUAACGAGCCCUCAGGCACCCAGGGUCCCGAAUGUCGGAUGACAUCCGGUAGAUGAGGCUGUUGCCGAUAGUAAUUGAGACCGCCGCGGAGUUGUAUUUUUAAUUCGCUUUAUUUAGUUCACUUGCCUCACAAGCGAAUAAAAUUAUACGUACUCAGUACGGCCGGCAAAUCUGAUCUGGUCCUAGUUGGUUUCGGUUCCCGUUAUCUGCUCGAAAAUGCUGUCAGUUGGCACCGGUGAAGGGGGUACGCCACUAUUU